rnacentral:rRNA from 1 species
UACGUAGGUGUCGAGCGUUUGUCCGGGAUUUAUUGGGCGUAAAGAGCCCGCAAGGCGGCUUGGCAAGUUUGAGGUGAAAUCUCCCGGCUUAACUGGGAGGGGCCUCGAAAACUGCCAGGCUUGGAGGCAUGGAGAGGGAUGCGGAAUUCCCGGUGUAGUGGUGAAAUGCGUAGAUAUCGGGAGAACACCAGUGGCGAAGGCGGCAUCCUGGCCAUGUCCUGACGCUCAGGGGCGAAAGCGUGGGGAGCAAACCGGG